rnacentral:lncRNA from 1 species
AUUUCAUCUCUAAGAUACUAAUUCGGAAACAAAAGUGGCCAGAUGGAGUUGAUUGACAGGGCUUCUCUGAGAGGAGGACGAGCUGUAUACACUGAGGAAGGGAAUCAUGCCUGGGCUGGUGUUUUAUCCUCUCUGAAUGCAGCAAAGGAAGGGUUUUGCUGUCAAGAUGGAUUGGAUCAUCGUUUGAUCUUUUAUCACGGUGUUCACCUGGCUCCUGAAGGACAGACAUCAGCAGCAGAAAACAUCAUUACUCCCAACUGGCCUACAAGUAUUUGUCAACAUUUUUCACAUGUGAAAUGGAAAGAGUACCUGUCUCUACAUACAUACUGAGGAAUUCGGCGGAGGCUGUUGGAGUCAGUGGUUGUGGCAUGCCAGUUCCAUCAAGAAGUCUCACCUUCGGGCAGCACACUGAUGCAGCCUUCCAGGGAUUGGUGGCACCUUUGUUGCUGGGUCCCAUGGGAGGUUUCCAGAGGGUGGCGCUGACUCAUGGAGUUCUGUGGCCUGAGAAGACAGAUUUAGUGUUACUUCUAGAACAGUGGCUCCCCAAAGGUCCAAGUCCAGUCGGGUCUGAUCAACUUACAAGGAAAAAUGUGGUAUGUGUCCAUGUGUGAGUAUGUGAAUGUGCGUAUUAUUGCCAACUGUUCUUUCUUUUGAGAUAAUGUCCUUCCCACUCUUUGGCAUUAAAUUGGUGUUUUUAACGUCCAUAAAAUGUACUCGUCCAUAAGAUUCCAAAGUCUGCUUGGAAACACUGAGCUGAAGAACAAC